UUUGUACUCCCUCCGUCCGGAAAUACUUGUCAUUGAAAUGGAUGUAUCUAGAUGUAUUUUAGUUCUAGAUACAUUCAUUUUCAUCCAUUUUGAUGACAAGUAUUUCCGGACGGAGGGAGUAGAAG
rnacentral:pre_miRNA from 1 species